rnacentral:misc_RNA from 1 species
GAUGAAGAACGUAGCGAAAUGCGAUAAGUAAUGUGAAUUGCAGAAUUCAGUGAAUCAUCGAAUCUUUGAACGCACCUUGCGCUCCUUGGCAUUCCGAGGAGCAUGCCUGUUUGAGUGUCAUUAAAUUCUCAAGACCUGUCUGCUUUUUUGGUAGGUAUUGGAUUUUGGGGGUUGCAGGCUGUUUCAAAUAAAUAGCCUUGCUCUCCUUGAAUGUAUUAGUGGAGAAAAGCCAUUGAACUCCAUUGGUGUGAUAAAACCUAUCAAUGCCAGGAGCAAUAUCACUACUUCUCUCUGCUGUCUAACUGUGACUGUCUGUAUUAAUUAGUAUGGAUGGGGACAACUUGACCAACUUGACCUCAAAUCAGGUAGGACUACCCGCUGAACUUAAGCAUAUCAAUAAGCGGAGGA